GACGAACGCUGGCGGCGCGCCUAACACAUGCAAGUCGAACGCGAAAGAGGGCUUCGGCCCUUGAGUAGAGUGGCAAACGGGUGAGUAACACGUGGGUAAUUUACCUCUGGAUGGGGAAUAACCCGGGGAAACCUGGGCUAAUACCGCAUAAUGCAGGGUGACCGCAUGGUUACCUUGCUAAAGCGGGGGAUCGUAAGACCUCGCGUCUAGAGAGAAGCCCGCGUCCGAUUAGCUAGUUGGUGGGGUAAUGGCCUACCAAGGCGAUGAUCGGUAGCCGGUCUGAGAGGAUGAUCGGCCACACUGGCACUGAGACACGGGCCAGACUCCUACGGGAGGCAGCAGUGGGGAAUCUUGGGCAAUGGGCGAAAGCCUGACCCAGCGACGCCGCGUGGGGGAAGAAGUCCCUCGGGACGUAAACCCUGCAAGUGAGGGACGAAUAAUGUUGGGCUAAUACCCCAACAGAUGACGGUACCUCAUGUAAGCCCCGGCUAACUACGUG
rnacentral:rRNA from 1 species